UAAUGCAUCGAACACCCACCAAACGUUCGUACCAUUGCUUUGUCAAUUUUUUUUGCCCUCUCUGUCUCCUUUCCGCCAUUACAUUUAUAAUUAUAGGCAAGUUGCAAGUGCAACAAUGGCUAAACAAACAAAGGGACUGCAAUUUCCACUCGCAACUACCCUUUCAGAAAUUUUCACAACUAAAUCAGUGAAUAACUCAGUUUAUGAAGGACUUUUUCAGUUGGACCACAGACUUUGUCAUCAAACCUUCAGCCGUUGGGAGCUUUUCCACCAGACGUUUUGCUCUUUUGAUUUCAAUGGGAAAAACGACAUUUCUCCAACAUCACAACUAAUGGUGUCGGUCCACAAACCUAAGUGGGGUCACACACCUUUGUUUGAGUUGUGUAGGUAUUUGGCAACAUCAUUUUCCUUCUGAAAGGGUAGCAAGAUAAAAAAAUCCAAUUAUUUGUUGUGGCAAGUAAGGACUCUUGGAAGGUCAUAAUUGAUUUCAGAAUUCUUUAG